rnacentral:lncRNA from 1 species
CGCUUCCCUGACCGCAGAGCCGCGCCCUCGGGCCUGCUGGCUGCCCCUGAGCCGCGGGAUGGGCUUCUUUUCUGACAGUGUUUUCUUGAGGAACCGCGCCAGCGAGGUGGCCGGGCGGGGCUCAGGGCGGCCAAACUCGGGGGGCCAAGCCCAGGCCGCGGGGGCCCCGAAGGCAGACAGAGCGCGCUGCAGCUUCACUUGCGGCCAGGAAAGAGGCGGGAACUGGCGGAUGAGAGAUAGCUUGGACCUGGCAGGUUUGUCCAUGCCCUGCUGCUCAAAGAAAGCAGAGCUAGGCAGGCGGAAGGAGGUGCCCUGCCGCUCCCCGCCUGGCUCUUCUGGCUCCUCCAGUUCCACAAUGUCAUCCAGUGGGGUGGGCGUAUGGGUUGUGGGGGUGACAGGAUGGGCGCUGGUACCCAGGGGUAAGCAAAGGCUGACUCUUCUGGGUACAGAUAGGGCGCGCCUGGGGGAUAAAUGGCCUCGUCUCCUCCACCGUAGAUGCCUUCGGCAUAGGGGACAGGUGUGGGGGAUCCCAUAGGGAUCAAGGUAGGGCAUACUGUAGGGAUUCUCAUACGGCAGGUCAUAGGAUGGGCAAGGCACUUCGUAGGGCGCAUAGGGAUCCGGGUAGUAGCUGUAGGGGUAGCCUUCGCCUUCGAGCUCGUCCUGGUAGCUGUAGGGUGACGAGUACCCUGAUGGGGGCGCGUAUGGGGGCUCAUAGUCAUAGUAGCCGUAGCCGUGGCCAGGGAAAAAGGAGCCGCCAUAGUGGUCAGGCAGGUAGUAGUCGUAGGGGUCCUCGGGCGGGUACUCGUAGGGGUAGUCAGUGUAGGGUGGCCAGGCUGGGCUGUAGAGACCAUAGCCAGCCAGGUAGGCCUCUUGCUCCUCGUAGCGGUGCAUUGACUGCUGGUCGUAAUAGUCAUCGCCCUCGCGAUGGUAGUCAUAAUAUUCACCCAGGUCCUGGAAGCCUUCCAGUCCAUACAACGACUUUCGAGAGCCCGCGUGCCGAAAGGGUGCCUCGUCCUCAAAAGGUAGCGAACACUGCCCUGAAUGCUAAGAGGUCAGACUUCAGUGGAGCAAGACACGGUCUCUGUCAGAGUUCCCAAGGUCACAGACCUUAAGCUAAGAGUCACAUCAUCCAGAAGAGCUGUGAAAGUCAAAGCAUGACCCCAGGUACUCAACACCACAAUGGAGGCCCAGGAAAGCUCCUCUAAGAAGUAGCAGGAAUCAAACUCAGGAUCUUAUGCUUGCCAGGAAGGCAUGGCACCGCUGAGCUACAUCCCUGGCCCCGAUACACAGUUCUUGAGGAGGGCAGAUGAGCUUGGAGUUUCUUGCCAAAAGAGGGUUCCAAAAUAAUGAACUGUAUAAUCUAAGCUGGAGGAGGGACAUGGAGAAUGAAUAUACAGAUAUUGUACAGACACACAGAUGCUUUUUCCCUUGGCUUCUUUACAUGAGCUUUCUAAAGCUGCAGGCCAGGUUGUCCUCUGGGGUACCAGCCUGGGGCUGAGUACAGCCCUGCUGUGUGGGGAUGGGCUGAGUGAAGCUGCAGGACCCUCCUGUAAUGGCCAGGGGAGGGUGAGUGAUGGGACCAAGGUGGCCAACAGGAACAGGGCCCAGCCCUGGAGUUCACCUUGGUAGCAUGGGUUAGGGACCACAGAGGUUGCUUAGAGGGCUUCCCAGCCAAAGGCCACUAAGCUGGCUUGUCACUUUGACUUGGGCAUGUACAGCUGAAAAGUCCCUCUCACACAGUUCACCCUUGCUGAUCACAGAUCCAAAAAGUCCAGGGCACAAUACAUGGAGAUGUCUCUGAUCCCCAACACAAAGACUGAGCCCAGCAAACAAGUUCAC